rnacentral:rRNA from 1 species
AUGGCGCGUUCUUCCUCCCUCGCUCUCGCGGUGGCGGUGCUGGCAAUCGUCUGCUGUUUCAUGCCACGCUCAGCGACGGCAAUCCGAGUUGUUCCCGACGGACUCCAUGGGCCACUAAAUUCCCCUCCGUCGCCGCGUGCCAAUUAUUCGCCGCAUGGGGGACCCUACACGGGACGGCCGUGCAAGCCCUAUUAUGGCUGCAGAACGGUUCCUGAACCACCUCCACCGGCGACAUCCCCGCCGACUCCACGCCGCAAGACCAUGCAAGUUGUGGCGAACACAUGA